UUAAUUGAAGAGUUUGAUCAUGGCUCAGAUUGAACGCUGGCGGCAGGCCUAACACAUGCAAGUCGAGCGGCAGCACAGAGGAACUUGUUCCUUGGGUGGCGAGCGGCGGAGGGGUGAGUAAUGCCUGGGAAAUUGCCCGGUAGAGGGGGAUAACCAUUGGAAACGAUGGCUAAUACCGCAUAACCUCGCAAGAGCAAAGCAGGGGACCUUCGGGCCUUGCGCUACCGGAUAUGCCCAGGUGGGAUUAGCUAGUUGGUGAGGUAAGGGCUCACCAAGGCGACGAUC
rnacentral:rRNA from 1 species